CAACGCCUCAUUUACGCCAUUCAGCUGGUCCUUGAAGGAAAAUGUUUUCCUGUUGGUCGACAAAUCUGGACCGAAUUCUUCUCAGUGAAUCACAGAAAGGAAACAGCCGCCUCACAAAGGAGAAGAAACGCCUCAAACAUCAGACAUGGACCCCGAAGCUCUGCUGCUCUUCAUCCUCACGUCACAGCUUCAGAUCCAAGAGGUUACCAGCAGGACGACAGACGUGUCUCUCUACUCCCGGAGUGGACAGGAUGUCUUUCUGUCUUGUCUGAACACAUCUCCCGGUGACACGACGUGCUCGCUGGUCUCCUGGAUUUACAGCAUAGAUCAGAUCCAGUCUUCAUUCGUGGUUAAGGAAGGAAAGGUGGAGAGAAGGUUUGCUCAGGGCUCCCGGUUGAGCCUGGACACAAGGUGCUCUUUGGUCAUCAGGAACGUCACGGCCGAGGACGUCGGAGGCUACACCUGCAGGCAGGGCCAGGACGUUAACCGGGACGAACAAGUGUCCCUCAGUGUCAUGACGGUCUCUCCCUCUGAAGCGGGCUCUGACCCCGGGGGGGUCGGCGAGGUCACCCUGCGGUGCACUGUGCGGAGGCCCCCGGGCUUCUUCUGCCUCGUGGGCAGCCUCCGAUGGCGGGACGAGGCGGGGACGGAGCUGCGGGCGGAAGGCACCGGCCGCACCCUCCUCAGGCAGACGUGCUGCGUCUCCAUGGUGACCGUGAGGCGGCAGGCCGGACCAAACAGGAAGUACACCUGCCAGUUUGUCGACGCCGAAGGCAUCGCUAUAAGAGCCGAUUACACACCUGACUUCUCAGAUGGCGCCCUUGAUCACCCCUCCAUCAUCAUCAUCAUCAUCGCUGUGGUCGCCGUGGUCGCGGGGGUGGCCGUCUUGGUCGUCAUGGUCGCAGUUCUCAUCAAAUACAGGAAGAGAUCCAAAGGGACAGAGGAUGUUCAGAAACCGAGCCAACCCGCUGAAACGUCGGACCAAUUGCAACGUAAUGUUUUCAGCGGCGCUAAUGUUGUGGUUAAUUUAUCACUAAACAGCGUCGGGGGUCAAUACCUGUGGGUCUGAUGCUGCAGCCGUUUGGCGCUCAGCACUGCACGAGCACGAGGAGGAGGAGGAGCAAGAAGAGGAGGGGCAAGGGGCGGGGUUUGUGAGCGCAGUUCGGGGCGAAAUUCUCACAAUAGCUCAAAUAAAGGCCGGUCAGAUAUCAAAACAUAUUUGGGGGGAAAAAAUUGUGCUCCUGCAGAAGGGGAACGUUUCUCAUCCAGGGCAAAAGGGCAGGUGCUUGAGUACCAGUAGGGCUCUACCUGUGCACAUGCACGUUGUUGGUGCAGGUAGAGUGACUCACUUAGAUGAAACCUAUUAAGCCAUAAAUUGAAAGAAACCUGUGCUCACUUCUGCCGCUGGUGGCCAGAAGCUGUAUUGUGACCACACAGACGUAGAAGGUCAAUUUCCCUCCACUUUAAAACCAAAGUGAAGUUGCUCUCAUGUGCUCUUUGAAAUGAAGUUCAGAAACACUUUUCUACCCGUUGGACACAGACGCACAGUCUUCACUCUGUUCUUUAUGAAUCUCUCAGGAUGAACCCGGGAUCGAUCUGACCUACAUGGCUGUGAGCCAUUCUCAUCCACAGGCCCCUGCUCGCACAAAGGUCAAAGAGGACGAGGUGACAUACUCUACAGUCAAUACUCUGGGGAAGA